rnacentral:rRNA from 1 species
AGGGCACCACCAGGGGUGGAGCCUGCGGCUUAAUUUGACUCAACACGGGAAAUCUCACCAGGCCCGGACACCGGAAGGAUUGACAGAUUGAGAGCUCUUUCUUGAUUCGGUGGGUGGUGGUGCAUGGCCGUUCUUAGUUGGUGGAGCGAUUUGUCUGGUUAAUUCCGAUAACGAACGAGACUCCGGCCUACUAACUAGAUGGAGGAUCCCUUCGUGGGUUCUUCACUGCUUCUUAGAGGGACGGGCGGCGUUUAGCCGCACGAGAUUGAGCAAUAACAGGUCUGUGAUGCCCUUAGAUGUUCUGGGCUGCACGCGCGCUACACUGAAGGAAUCAGCGUGUCCUCCCCGCUCUGAAAAGAGUGGGUAACCCGUUGAAACUCCUUCGUGAUGGGGAUUGGAGAUUGUAAUUAUUCUCCAUGAACGAGGAAUUCCCAGUAGGCGCGAGUCAUCAGCUUGCGUCGAUUACGUCCCUGCCCUUUGUACACACCGCCCGUCGCUACUACCGAUCGAGUGAUUUAG